UCUGGUUUAGCAUAUAAUUAAUGUGGUGGAUUGUAAAUCCAUAUGAAAUUUUUUAAACUU
rnacentral:tRNA from 1 species